UCAUGGCACGCAACAAAAGCAACCCAUAAAGAAUGUGGUAGUGCUGAUAAUGGAAAACAGGUCCUUUGACCACAUGCUGGGUUGGAUGAAGAAAUCUAUCAAUCCAUCCAUCAAUGGUCUUGAUGGUACAGAGUGCAAUAGGAAGUCCACAGACGAUCCAAACUCACCAGAGGUGUGCGUAUCUGAUGAUGCUCAGCUUGUUGACCCAGAUCCUGGGCAUUCUUUUGAAGAUAUUAAGUCACAGGUAUUUGGCUCCGGCUCUAUUCCAGACAUGUCCGGCUUUGUUCAACAGGUAUGCUGCAUCUGUGUGCAAUAAUAAUAAAUAUAGAAAUUUUUAUAGAAUGAGUACCUUAAAAAGUUAGAGAAAUUUAAAGCAGUUUUGUUAAAAAUUGAAUUUAAAAUAAUAAGAGACCAAUAGUAUGAUACCAUGUAUGGAACAUUGUACUUCAGAUUUUUUAAUUUUUCAACUGCAGGCAUUAGCAAUAGACCCUGAAAUCUCCUCCACUGUAAUGCGAGGUUUUAAGCCAUCAAACAUCCCCAUCUACACAAAACUAGUUCAAGAAUUUGCUGUU
rnacentral:lncRNA from 1 species